AGUGUGUAAACCCUUUUUUCCUGCACAGGUAUUAGAGAAUUCCCAGGUGUCUUAGUUUCUAUUUAUUUAUUUAUUUAAUCAUUUUAUUCAUUUACAUUUCAAAUGGUAACCCUCUUCCCUCCAGGUUACCCCUCCACAAUGCCCCCAUCUCAUCCCCCUUCUUUCUCCUCCCCUUGUCUUAGUUUCUAAUAUGAGGAGAACAACCUAACUGCUUUAAGAAUGUUUAAUUGCAAGGAAGUUCUAACCACAGGAAGACAUGCCUACCAACUGGGUACCUACUUUGUAUACUUUUCCCCAGUUACCUCUUGUCAUAGUUAGCUUACAGUGUCAACUAUAUACAGUCUAGAGUUACUUGAGAGGAGAGCCUCUAGAUCAGAUUGGCUUGAGGCCAUGGUUGACAGAGAACAUCUUGACAAAUGAUUGAUGUAGGAGAGCCCACACCACUGUAGGUGGUAUCCAAAGGAAGGUGGACAUGGGCUGAGAAUACUUCUAACUAACCAUGAGCCUACAAGUGAUCCAGUCUAGUGACAGUCUUUCAUGGUUUCUUCUUUAAGCUCCUACGUGAGUUCCUGCACUGAAUUCCAUUAAAAAUAGGAUUGUGACUUGAAAUUGUAAGCCAAAUCUCUCUCUCUCUCUCUCUCUCUCUCUCUCUCUCUCUCUCUCUCUCUCUCUCUCUCGGUGUCUCUCUCUGCCUCUCCCUGUCUCUCUCUGCCUGUCUCUUUAUCAGCAUUUUUUUUUUAAUAUCACAGAAAGAAGCUAGGGCAUCUCAUAUUGAACUUCUACUCAGAAUUAAAAUUUUUGGGCUCCCUGUUUAGCUGUCAGACCCUGGCCACUGGUAGAUGAAGGGCUUUGAGUGUUAUAAAUCAGGUCUCUUUUAUCCUCCCACUCUAUUCUGAUCCACCAAAUGUGAAUAAGCUAUCUAAAGAGCUCCUGCCAUAAUGAGUUGAGUUACCGAGUCUGACAUACUUUCCUAACCAUUAUGGACCAUAUACCGUGAGCCAUGACCAAAAUUAACCUCUCCUUCCUCAAGUUGCUUUUCUUAAGUAUUGGGUCACAGUAAAGUCUGUGUGUCUGAUACAGGAGGGAAGAUGGCUUUCCUGGAUUCCCUAUUAGAUAUGGGGACUGCUUCUGUCCUGUAGUUCUUACUGCCAGAUUCCCUAUUUUUCCUUUCCCCCACAGCACUGAUCAGCUUUCUCUAUAAUCUAAAGACUCAGUUGCUCAGCAUCUUUUUCAUUGGUAUAAUAAGGGCCUCUCUUGUUAGAAUGUAAGUUCUCCAUAGGCAGGUGUCCUUAUCUAUUAUAUACAUAUCUCUACCCUUCCUCCCUCCCUCCCUCUCCCCUCUGUUCUUUCCUUUGGUUCUUCCUUUUAUCCUCUUUCUCAUUCUUCUUUGUUUUUUGUUUUUGUUUUUAUUUUGAAUUUUUUUAGUUUUUGUUUUUCUGUUUACAUACCCCUUCCUAUGUGACAACUUUGCAACCCUGACAGGGUUUAACUCACCCUGUAGCCCAGUUUACACUCCAGUAACUGCAAUCUUUGGCAGUUCUAGAUUAAGGAAAUAAAAGAUGUAUGUCUGGGUCAUGGGUCACCCUGUUUGCUUUUCUUGACUUUAUUUUCUGAGUAUUCGACUAUUGCUCUAUCUCUAUCUUUAUUUUCAUACCUCUCUCUCUCUUUCUCUGUCUCUGUCUGUCUGUCUCUCUCUUUCUUCUCCCCACCCCGAAACUCUCCACUGUUUCCCUCUGCUAUCUCACACCCUGGAAUUUCCCAGGGAGGCAGAAGAAAAAGAAGAGAAAAGAAUGGGGGAAGAGAGAUCACAGCACACAGCAAAAGGAAAGAAGGAAACUGGGUGAAAGGAGGAGAUGAGAGGAGGAAGAGGGCCCAGCAGCUGGAAGGCCCACACCCUACAGCUCUGUGGCUGACACCCACUCAGUUGGGCAAGAUAUGCGGAUUUUCAAUCAACUACAGACUGCAAGUUGCUCCAAGCUUGUAAGUCCUAGGUGCUUCUGAUGGGAUUUCUAACAAGCCUGAAUAUCUACAUCCUAGAUGGCUCCAAAGUGGCUAGCCCCAAGUGCUUCAACCUUACAGACUGCUUCAACAUAGCCAGGAUUUCUCAAGGUUCAGGUGGUCCUGCAGAGCCUGGACAGCAAGUGAAGUAGUCUUCAUUCCUCUCUCUUUCUUCCUGGCUGUGACCACCAUUCCAGCUUUCUUGAGUCCCUAACAAAGGGGCUGUGAUCUUGGAACUUUAGAACAUUUUAUGUGCUAUAAAAUUUGGAGAUCACAUGACUAGGGAAAAUGUGUCCUGACAUAAGAUAGCACAAUCCAAUCUAUCAAUUUAUACAUGACACUGGCCCUGGUGAGAUUUCUCGUUUAGUGUCCUCCAGAAAACCCUGUGAGGUAAACAUUUAAUGCCCGUUUUGCAUAAAAAGAAACCAAGACUCUAUUAUAUUCAGUGAGAUUCAGAAGUCCAGUUCUUGGAGCUAGGAAAAGGUUGCUCAGGAAAGGGAGAGAAAAGAAAUAGGGUAAUGGAAUAAAUGACAUGAGAACAGAAAUGGGGACUAUUUGGGUGAUGAGGAUAAAACUAGAAUACCUCCUCCAAUACUGAAUUUGCAUAAGUGACAUUCUUUUUUUAUUAUUAGAUAUUUUCUUUAUUUUAUACUUCAAAUGUUAUCCCAUUUCCUGGUUUCCCCUCUGAAAACCCCAUAUCUCAACCCCACUUCCCCUGCUCACCAAACCACCCACUCCCACUUCCCUGUCCUGGCAUUCCCCUACAUUGGGGCAUCGAGCCUUCACAGGACCUAUGGCCUCUUCUCCACUACAUAUGCGGCUGGAGCCGUGUGUCACUCGCUCCAUGUGUACUCUUUGAUUGGUAGUUUAGUCCCUGGAAGCUCUGGGGGUACUGGUUAGUUCAUAUUGUUCCUCCUAUGGGGCUGCAAAUUCCUUCAGCUCCUUCAGUCCCUUAGCCUUAGUUUCCCUCCCGUGUCUCUUGGAACAACGAUUACAUCAGAGAUUGCACAAUGAGAUCCAUAUUUAAUAAGCCAGCCGAUGGGCUCCCCAAGCUAGCUGUAAGUUUCGGUGCCCAGAAUUUGAGGACAGUGGUCCAAUUUGUAGACAGAAUAAAGUUAAGGACUCUUAGAUGAGCUCAUCCUGUCUGUAGGGUUGGUCAUAAUUGCCAGUAAAGCUGAGAAAGUGACUAGAAGACAGGCUGAGCUGUGACGAAUUUGUGCGCCAAGCAUAUUCAUUUGUUACAGCUUCCAUGGUAACGAAGACUGAUGAGACAACAGAAUAUUGCUACUGCACAGUUCUGUAAGCUAUAAAUUCAAGAUCAAGGAUUCAGCAGGACUGUGAGAGAAGAUCUGUUCCAAGUCCAUAACCCCGUAACUCAGCUGCUACUGAUUUGUUGACAGUGUUUCACAAUGUUUCCUGUCUCUCUGCCUUUUUCAGUAUGUGCUGUUUUUCCUCUCUCUCUCUCUCUCUCUCUCUCUCUCUCUCUCUCUUUCUUUCUCUCUCUGUCUCUCUGUCUCUGUCUCUCUCUGUCUCUCUCUGUCUCUCUCUGUCUCUCUCUCUCUCUUUCUCUCUCUGUCUCUCUGUCUCUCUCUCUCUGUCUCUGUCUCUCUCUGUCUCUGUCUUUCUCUGUCUCUUUCUCUGUCUGUCUCUGUCUCUCUCUCUCUCUCUCUCUCUCUCUCUCUCUCUGUGUGUGUCUGUGUGUCUGUGUGUCUGUGUGUCCAGAUUUCCCUUUACACAAAGAUUCCAGUCACACUGGAUUAUAGCUCUACCCUGGUCUGAUAUGAAUAACUUAAAUAAUUAUAUUUUCAACAACCCAGUAUGUAAACAGGUGACAUUCUCACGCAUUUUGGAGAUAUGUUGGUGAUGCCAAGAAGUUUCAUGCAGCUGGGAGAGGGGUGUGGCUGGAGUAACGGAGGGAUGAGGAGGAAGGGAGAAAGGGAAUUUCUUAGAAAAGUUAUGAAGUUUCUCUUUUCCCUUUUCUUCUCUUUUCCCUUUUCUUCUCUUCCCCUUCCCUCCAUCCCAAUCUUCUCUUCUUCUCCUUUUCUUUCUUCCUUCAUUUGAGACAGUGUCUUAUGCAGAUCAGGCUGGCCUAGCACUUUCUAAGAAGCUGAAGAUGAUCUUGAACUAAUUUUCUUACCUCUGUGCCUGAGUGCUGGGACUUCAGGCAUACCUCACUAUGUCUGGUUUAUUUGGUGCUGGGGAUAGAACUCAGAGGUUUUUAGAUGCUAAGUAAGCACUCCACCAACUUAAUAUUAUCUGUAGAUUCAACAGUAAGUUUUCUAAUCCAUUUCCAACAAUUAUGUUACAAUAUCAAACAACAAAUAAAACAUAGCACAGGGCAGGAGAAAUGGCUCAGCCAUUAAGAGCACUGGUUACUCUGCCAAAAAUUCUGGGUUUGAUUUUCAGUAGCAUGGCCACUCACAAUCAGCUGUAAGUCUAGAUCCAGGGAAUUGUAUGCCAUUUUCUGACCUCUGUGGGUACCAGGCAUGCACUUAGUGCACAGAUGUAUGUGCAGAAAAUACUCAUAUACAUACAAUAAAAUAGAUCUUUAAAAAUAAGGAGAAAGAAAAGUGACUCCACAUUCCCCUAUAGCCGUCUACUGCCAAUAGCUUCUCUGCCUUGGUGUGGCCUCAGGAGCCUAUUCCUAAUCUACACUGGAAUUUUUAGUUGGCUUGAUUUUCUGCAGAUCUUCUAUAUGUAAGCAUGGCUGUUUCCUGUGAGUUCUUACGGGCAGCAACCAUAGCACAUCCAGAAGGUCAUAUUUCAUAGCAUUUCUCCUUUUCCAGCUCUAACAUUCUUUUUGCCCCUGCUCUUCCACAAUGUUCACUGAGCCUGAAGGGUUUGGUAUAGAUGUCUUGCGUCUGCUUUAUUUCACUUAUCUCAUUGAACAGUAUAUUAAUAAUAGGUACAACAUUGUUAUGCAUACUGUACUUCAAAAGUUUUACUAAUGUUGGAAGGAAAAAUUGGAGGCAGAGAGGAGAACCAUAAAAUUCUUGAAAUCAGAGCAACGAUGUCAUUCCAGCCUGGUCUAACUAUCACAAAUACCUGAUUUGGGAGGGAACCCUGUUUAUGUGGAAGAAAAAGAAAUUGGGGAACUUUUCAUUUCUGAUUUCCGGAAACCAACGCCUCUGCCUAUUAUGUGGUAUGGAAGGUAAGCAGGCCACCCACUUCCAAUGGAAAUAAUAGGGCAAUAGAUGAAUUUGUCAGAGAUUACAUCUCUACCCUAGAUGCUGUUCUGAUCCCUCAAUUCCCUGACACAGAAAUGCUUUGUGUUCAGAGACUCCUGUCCUUAGAGUUGGUGGCUUCCCAGCCUCCCUUCUGUGCCUCUAGAUUUUCAGAUGAAGGAGGGGGUAGGAAAAGAUUGGAAAUUAUAUUAAUAACUAUUUAUUUAUUUGCUUAUUUAUGUUUUGAGAGUUCAUAGUGUUAAACAAUGUGUCCACACGGUGACACAGAGGACAACUUAAAGAAAUUAGUUCUUUUCUUUCAGGAAUUCUUGGAAUAGAACUCAGGUCACUGGACUUGGUAACAAGAGUGUUUACCUGGUAAAGCAUCUUGGGUCCCAGAAAUGAAUUUUCUCUGGUUUUCCUGUUUCACCCUGCUCAGCUGCUAAACACUUUAAAAGUCAUCUUUCAUUUCUUACAUGCCAGGAAAUACUCUCUUCCUCUCUUUGGUUAUUUCUCUUUUUUCUCCCUCCCCCAUCCUCUCUUCAUCUUUGUCCUGUCUGUCCCUCCUUUCUCUUUAUUUUCAGUAAAAAAAAAUGUAGUAUAAUAUAUGCAGAAAAUAUUGUACAGACCAUUUCUUGAUAAAUCUUCCCAUGGUUAAUGUGUCUGUGUUAAUAGGUCUAUGUAACCAACACUGAAUAAGGAAAGAAAGCAUUCUUGAGCCCUCUCUCAAUCUGCACUGUAAGUGUAAGCAUUGUCAUAUAUAUACUUGACAUAUUAGGUGCCUGAGGAUUCUUAGGCUACAGGCUAUGAAAUUCUAGCCAGCCUGGGUUUAGCAACAGUUGAGUUCAAGGCUAUCCUGAGCAAUUUAGUGAGAUCCUACCUGAAAAAAAUAUUAAAAAGCAAUGGAGCCUGGUGUGGUGGUACACACCUUUAAACCAAGCACUUAGCUGGUAAAGGCAAGAGGAUCUCUGAGUUCAAGGAUAGCUUGGUCUACAUAGUGAUUGCCAAGACAGCUGGCACUACAUACAGAGACCCUGUCACUAAAGACCAGUUAAUCAGUUAUUUGCAAAGUGGAGAUAUAAGAAGUGAUGCAAAAUUGUAACUCACCAGCAGAAAAAAAAUGCCUAGAUUUACUGAGUAAAGGGCUGGGCAUGACUCAAAGGUAGAGCUCCUACCUAGAAUCUUCCAGUGAGGAGCUAAGGUAGCUUGGGGGUAGAACUUCUGCCUAGAAUCCACAGUGAGGGUCUGGGGAUCUGGUUCAUUCUAAGAAGUAGGGCAUUUGUUCAUCAUGUAUAUGGGCUUGGUUUCUGUUCUCUAUAUUGUCACCACCGCAAAACAAUAAGGAGAAAACUGAUACAAAAUACCACAACUAAAUACCGUAAAUACCAAAAACUAAAAGAGAAAUAUCCAUAAAAACCUUUAAAACAAAAAAUAAAAAUAAAGGCUACAGAGCAUGCAUUAUUUGUCUCCUUUUAUUCACAUUUAUUGUGUGUGUGUGUCUAAAUCAUAAUGUGUGUGUAGAAGUCAGAGAAGAGCUGGCAGGAGUCAGUUGUGUCUUUUCACCAUGUGGGUUUCUGAAUUGAACUCAAGACAGAAAACUUGGCUGCAACCUCCCUUCCCUACUGAGCCAUCUUGUAGGCCCCUAGCUGCCUUAUUUUUCAGCCUUAUAUAGGUGGAACUUUACCUAGGGUUUCUAUUUUUGCUCAUGGUAUUUUUCAUAAUUUCAUGUCUGUCAGGCACAUCCACAGUAACUGAUAUAGUGACA
rnacentral:lncRNA from 1 species